GGGGCUGAUCAAGCUUAGACGGAUUAUUAACAGACAUCAGGCGUACCGAUUGAAUACCGUAAGUAUUAAAUAAGUGCUAAAAACACGAAAACCGCGCAUGUUGCUUACAUGCCGGCCUUUGCCUAAUUAUUUAUAGGCUGGUUUUGAUCUAAGGUUCCGUAGGAUCGAAAUUAUCAUACAACGGGAAUAGGAUUAUUUAGUUGGCGAAAGAUAAUUAGAAAAUUAGCCACGGCUGGACUUAGUUUCGUUUCCUGCAGCUAGUCCGAUUAGCUUAAAUAAAACAGAAAACUAUGUGCGUAGAAUGGUGUCAAAGUGAUAGUUCGGACCCGGAGGCAGUAUCCGGCAGCUCCACCA
rnacentral:tmRNA from 1 species